UUUAUGGAGAGUUUGAUCCUGGCUCAGGAUGAACGCUGGCGGCGUGCCUAAUACAUGCAAGUCGAGCGAACAGACGAGGAGCUUGCUCCUCUGACGUUAGCGGCGGACGGGUGAGUAACACGUGGAUAACCUACCUAUAAGACUGGGAUAACUUCGGGAAACCGGAGCUAAUACCGGAUAAUAUAUUGAACCGCAUGGUUCAAUAGUGAAAGACGGUUUUGCUGUCACUUAUAGAUGGAUCCGCGCCGCAUUA
rnacentral:rRNA from 1 species